rnacentral:lncRNA from 1 species
AUUUUUUAAAAAUUUUUAAUUUUUCUUUCAAAAAUGUUAAAAUUAUUCAGAAUUUAAUGUCAGAUGUCAUACGUCAACGCAGAACAGAUAAAAGCAGAUUUAAAUAUCCGACUUUGUCAGUCAGCUGUUUCUACUAGGCCAACAAUGGAUGGGUGAUACCUAUACCAUGAAAAAAUUCUUUUUGUGUUUGUGUAACGUGUAAUGUGGCCGUUUUUCUGUUUUUGCUGUUUGGGGUUGUACGGAGGAUAUCCAACCAAAAGUUAUUUUCACAAGAUGCAAAUGUUAACACCUCAAUUUUGUAGCGGUACUUUUUUAACAAUUGACCAUUAGCUCCGAUGAUGACAUUUAUGUCGAAAGCGCUCAGCUAAAGAAAUAAAUUAUUUACACACUUUGA